UACGGGGGGUGCAAGCGUUAAUCGGAAUGACUGGGCGUAAAGGGUGAGUAGGUGGUGUAUUAAGUUGUCUGUAAAAGCCCUGGGCUUAACCUGGGAAUGAGAGAUGAUACUGGUAUACUAGAGUAUAAUAGAGGGCAGUGGAAUUUCCGGUGUAGCGGUGAAAUGCGUAGAGAUCGGAAGGAACACCAGUGGCGAAGGCGGCUGCCUGGAUAGGUACUGACACUGAAUCACGAAAGCAUGGGUAGCAAACAGG
rnacentral:rRNA from 1 species